rnacentral:rRNA from 1 species
UACGUAGGGGGCAAGCGUUGUUCGGAAUUACUGGGCGUAAAGAGCUCGUAGGCGGCUUGUCGCGUCGUCCGUGAAAACUCACAGCUCAACUGUGAGCUUGCGGUCGAUACGGGCAGGCUAGAGUUCGGUAGGGGAGACUGGAAUUCCUGGUGUAGCGGUGAAAUGCGCAGAUAUCAGGAGGAACACCGGUGGCGAAGGCGGGUCUCUGGGCCGAUACUGACGCUGAGGAGCGAAAGCGUGGGGAGCGAACAGG